UUCGGAUUGUAGUCUGCAACCGACUACAUGAAGCUGGAAUCGCUAGUAAUCGCGGAUCAGAAUGCCGCGGUGAAUACGUUCCCGGGUCUUGUACACACCGCCCGUCACACCAUGGGAGUCGGAAAUGCCCGAAGUCUGUGACCCAACCUUAGGGAGGGAGCAGCCGAAGGCAGGUCGGAUGACUGGGGUGAAGUCGUAACAAGGUAAC
rnacentral:rRNA from 1 species